AAAAAAAAAAGAAAAAAAAAUAACCUUUCAGCCCACGCCAAGCUUCUUCGGCUUCGCUACUUCCCCUGACCAUCAAACCACGAAAAAUCUGAGUUCUGCCGAAAACCCAUUUGGAAAAAGAGGGAAACCAACCCUUCCCAUUCUUAUAUAUAUCCAAACAAAUCGGAAACUUCAGAAAUUAAUCAGGAAAAAAAAAAGAGAAAAACUUGCAGAGAAACAGCUGCGUAUUACUUGGAUCAAAGUUUUGUUCAUCAGGUAAUUUUUUAGCUUCAUUUAUGUUUAUAUUCUUGUGAAUUGUGUGUAAGAUCGUAAUCGAGGGGUAUUUUGUAGAGCCGAUUACGUUUUUAGAUAAUUUUGUUUACUUGAGGUGACGUUGGAAAUGAAAAUUUGAUAAUUCUUUUUAAUUAAAUGUCGGAUUUAAUGUUCAAAGAGUUUAUUUUUUUAAAUGUUGUAUUUGAUUUAUUCGUUCUUUGGAUUUUGGGUACAGUUUGAAUCGAAUUGAAUUUGGAAUUUUUUUCCAUUUUCUUGUGGGUUCUUGUUUGUUUGGAUCAGGCAGUGGUGGAGGAUACGAGUUUUAGUAGUCUUUCUUAUCAGAGUAUGAGCUUUCCAUCCCGAAAUGAUCAAAGGGACAGGACUGGCAGAUUCCACAAUCUACAUGCUCGCCAAACAUGGGUCCCUAGAGGAUCUGGCCCUACUGCUGUUGUGAAUCCACCAUCAACCUUCAAUGCAAAUCCUAAUGGAAUUGGCAGUGGACACUCCGAUCAUACCUCUGCUCCACCCAAUCCUGGGCAUGGCAAUGCCACUAGGGGUCGCAAGCCUUGGCCUACUAAUCACAGGAGAGACGGGGAGAAAGAGAAGGACCGGAGCCAGACUCAGGAGUUUAAGGAGUUGAAGGACCCCAAUUUGCCCCAGCUUGUGCAAGAAAUUAAGGACAAACUUGUGAAGGGUACCGUUGAGUGUAUGAUCUGUUAUGAUAUGGUGCGGAGGUCAGCACCCAUUUGGUCUUGUUCAAGCUGUUAUUCCAUUUUUCAUUUGAAUUGCAUCAAGAAAUGGGCUCGUGCUCCAACAUCUAUUGAUUUGUCAGCUGAGAAGAGUCAGGGUUUUAAUUGGCGAUGCCCAGGUUGUCAGUCUGUGCAGCUUACAUCGUUGAGGGAGAUUCAAUAUGUUUGUUUUUGUGGGAAGAGGACUGAGCCCGCUUCUGAUUUGUAUUUAACGCCACAUUCCUGUGGUGAACCAUGUGGAAAGCCGCUUGAGAGGAGAGUUCCAGGUGCUGGUGAGAGCAAGGAUGAUCUUUGUCCUCAUGUUUGUGUUUUGCAAUGCCACCCAGGUCCAUGCCCUCCCUGUAAAGCAUUUGCUCCACCACGGUUGUGUCCUUGUGGGAAGAAACUAAUCACAACUAGAUGCUCUGACCGGAUGUCUGUUCUUACUUGUGGUCAACAUUGUGAUAAGCUUCUUGAAUGUGGGCGUCACCAAUGUGAGAAGAUAUGCCAUGUGGGUACUUGUGAUCCUUGUCAGGUUCUAGUCUAUGCUUCAUGUUUUUGCAGGAAAAAAGUGGAGACUAUCCUCUGUGGAGACAUCGCUGUAAAAGGCGAGGUGAAAGCUGAAGAUGGUGUUUUUUCUUGCAACUUGACAUGCAAAAAGAUGUUGUGUUGUGGAAAUCAUGAAUGUGGCGAAACUUGCCAUCCAGGCCCUUGUGGGGAUUGUGACUUGUUGCCAGGCAGGGUGGAGUCAUGCUAUUGUGGGAAAACGAGUUUACAGGUGGAAAGAAAGAGUUGUUUGGAUCCAAUUCCAAAUUGUACGCAAAUAUGUGGCAAACCCCUUCCUUGUGGAAUACACCACUGUAAGGAGAUCUGCCAUGCUGGGGAUUGUCCACCAUGUCUGGUUCUUGUCACCCAAAAAUGCCGAUGUGGAUCAACCUCUCGAACUGUGGAGUGCUUCAAAACAAUUGCAGAGAAUGAAAAAUUCACAUGCGAGAAACCUUGUGGUCGAAAGAAAAAUUGUGGGAGGCACCGCUGUAGUGAAAGGUGCUGUCCUCUUUCCAACCCUCACAAUCUUCUCUCUGGUGAUUGGGAUCCACAUUUUUGUCAAAUGGCUUGUGGCAAGAAGUUGAGAUGUGGACAGCAUUCUUGUGAAUCAUUGUGUCAUAGUGGCCAUUGUCCGCCUUGCCUAGAGACGAUAUUCACUGAUUUGAGCUGUGCAUGUGGAAGAACUUCAAUCCCUCCUCCUUUGCCUUGUGGCACACCUCCCCCUUCAUGUCAACUCCCAUGUUCAGUUCCUCAGCCUUGUGGCCAUUCAGCUUCUCAUAGCUGCCACUUUGGAGACUGCCCACCUUGUUCAGUCCCUAUUGCAAAGGAGUGUGUUGGUGGGCAUGUAGUUCUUGGGAACAUACCUUGCGGUUCAAAAGAUAUCAGAUGUAACAAACUCUGUGGUAAAACCAGGCAGUGUGGUCUGCAUGCAUGUGGCAGAACUUGUCAUCCACCACCUUGUGAUACUUCGUCAGUAACUGAAGCAGGUUCAAGAGCUUCUUGUGGGCAGACAUGUGGUGCUCCUAGGAGAGAUUGCAGACAUACUUGCACUGCACUUUGUCAUCCUUCUGCUUCUUGUCCUGAUGUGAGAUGUGAGUUCCCUGUUACAAUUACUUGCUCCUGUGGCAGGAUAACAGCACCUGUUCCUUGUGAUGCUGGAGGGAGCAACAGUGGUUUUAAUGCUGAUACCGUUUUUGAAGCAUCCAUUGUCCAAAAGUUGCCUGUACCACUUCAACCAGCGGAAUCAACUGGUAAGAAAAUUCCACUUGGCCAGAGGAAGCUUGUGUGUGAUGAUGAAUGUGCUAAGUUGGAACGCAGAAGGGUUCUUGCUGAUGCUUUUGACAUCACACCCCCAAACUUGGAAGCUCUUCAUUUUGGGGAGAAUUCUGCUGUGACCGAGCUGCUUUCAGACCUCUACAGACGUGAUCCAAGGUGGGUGCUUGCGGUGGAGGAGAGAUGCAAGUACUUGGUACUUGGAAAGAACAGAGGAUCGAUAAAUGGUCUCAAGCUUCAUGUUUUCUGCCCUAUGCUGAAGGAUAAGAGAGAUGCAGUUAUGUUGAUAGCUGAUCGGUGGAAGCUUGCUGUUUAUGCUGCUGGUUGGGAGCCAAAACGUUUCAUUGUGGUACAUGUUACGCCAAAAUCCAAGUCCCCGUCACGUGUGAUUGGGGUUAAGGGUACCACCACUUUAACUGCUCCCCAUCCACCUGCAUUUGAUCCUCUAGUAGACAUGGAUCCCAGGCUUGUUGUUUCUUUUCCAGAUUUGCCAAGGGAGGCAGAUAUAAGUUCAUUAGUUCUCAGAUUUGGUGGGGAAUGUGAGCUAGUUUGGUUGAACGAUAAGAAUGCGCUGGCUGUAUUUAACGAUCCUGCUCGUGCAGCAACUGCUAUGAGAAGAUUGGAUCAUGGAUCAGUAUACCAUGGGGCUGUUGCGGUUCUUCAAAGUGUUGGUGCAUCAGCAGCACCAGUUUCUAAUCCUUGGGGAGUGUCAGGGAAUACCAAAGGAGGAGGAGCAGCUGCAGCUUUCAAGCCAGGGAAAAAGGCUGUGGUUCCAGAGCAUGGUUGGAGGGAAGAUUCAUGGGGCAGCGAAGAGUGGUGUCACGGAUCUGGGGAUGUGCAGGCUUCCGCUUGGAAGGGAAAAGAAGCUCCUAUUGCUGCUACGAUUAAUAGAUGGAGUGCCUUGGAUUCUGAAUCGAUUUCCAAGGCAUCUACCACAUCUAUUCGGACUGAAGAUCCUGCUAAACGGGCAUCUAAUUUAGGAAUAGAAUCAAAUUCAAGGAUUUUCAGUUCACCUGAGCGGCUUGGAGGAAUUUCAAGUCAAGUAGAGUUGUCUGAAGUUGUGGAUGAUUGGGAGAAAGCUUAUGACACUUAGAAUAUAUAAUAGGUUAAUAGGAUAUUGAAAUCUGGACAAGACAGGGUUUGCAUUUGGUCUGCACCUAUAUUACUCUUUUUCUUUCUUUUUUCUUUUUU
rnacentral:misc_RNA from 1 species